AGGUAAGUUGAGCCUCUUCGCUCCUCUGCCUCUUCAUCCUCACAAUGUUACCUCGGGAAAGAGGGAUAGCUGCCUCAUUCUAGGGAUCAACUCAAGAAAGGUAGGUGUCUUCCACAGCCCUGAGUUCAGACGAACUGGCCUUGCAGUUUGUCUGCAAAGUUGGUGUUUGGCUGUUUCUCUCCCUCUGCACUUAACACAAGACAGGAUGGGCAAUCCUUCCGAUGGGAUCACCAAGUGCUCUGGGGCUCAGCUCAGGUGCGGGAUGCCUAUGAUCUGGACAGCAGGCCCCAGAGAGAAAACAGAUUUAUGGGAGUCCCCUACUUGGGGAAAUAUAAAAAUUGAAGGAUGUGGAGGAGAACAAAAGGCUCAGAAUCCAUCAGUUUUUAUGAGCAUCCUUACAUUGGGCCAGGAUUAUUGCUGCCAAGACAAGGUUGGAAUAAAUGUUGACUGGCAGAUAAAAGAAGCCCAUAUAUUAUGCCGUGAACUGUCUCUGUGAGUGUCUUUACCGUGCCCAGGGCAACUGAAACUAGGGGCUGUGUUGUGCUGAGGAAUCUGUGAAAGAGGCUGAGUGGUGGGCCAAGGCCUACCUCCUUUGGGCCUCUGCUGGCCUUCUGUCCAGUCUGUGUGGGAUAGAGAAGAGGGAAAGGGGUCCCUGUGAAUUCAGAGGGGAAGGGUAUCAGCAUGGGGUCAGGGAGGGAAAUGUGAACGAUCAUAUAAACAGCCCAGGACCUGUUUGUCAAUCAUGAGGUCAAUGGCAUGUGUGGAUGGGGGUGUUAGUCUUCUGUGCCUGAGGAAGCAAAGAAUGUUCUAGAAACUUUGGGAGAAGAAGAUGGAGAGUGUGAGAAAGAAGAAAAUUAAAAAGCAAUCACUUUUUUUUCCUUAACAAGACUGUGUCCUCAGAGAUUGGUGAUUCUAUGUCCAAUAAAUGUCUCCCAGAGCCCACAUCAGGAGCACCUAAGGCCCAAGAAGACAAGACCAACUUAGUUGGUUCUGGCACAGGCACUAGGUCACUCUUGGGACCAUGGCAGACACUGGUGGCCCAGAGAAAAGUGUCUCAGGAAGUCACGAUAUUUAGUCCUGGGAGGGAAUGUAGAAGCCAGCCAGAAAGAGUCAGUGUGUGAGAUUUCACAUGGAUGGAGGAGGGAGGCCUUUUGUAGGGAGGGAAAAGCCCAGACAAAGCCUAAGACAUUGGUUAUGGGAUAAGGUGAGAGGGGCUGCAGCAGGCUGUGGAUAUUGUAGGGUUAAUUAAUCUCAAUCAGGGGAUUAAGAUUAAACCCCACCUUUGAUCAUUCAGGACCCAGAUAAAAGACACAAAACAUUUAUAUUUAUAAUAAUCCUUUAAAGCGUGAGAGUAGGGCACAUACCUACCCUCUAUGCCAUUGUGUCUACUUCUUUAUCAAUAACCCUGAGUAGCAAGCUGCCAUGUUCCAUCCGGACCACUCUUCACUCCAAUUGGCCAGACCUCAUUGCAAUGUUUUCAUGACUCACCUACCCCAUGGCAUCUUCUCCUCUCUCCACCUUCUCUAUCCUUCCUUGUGAUUCUCCUGACCCCAAGCCUGGGAACUGAAACCCUACAUAUCUCUCUUCUGCCCAGCGAUAGGCUGGUGACAUCUUUAUUCCACCAAUAGUUUUAAAUCAAGGAGCAAGGUCACAUAGCACUUGAUGAUUCUACAUUCCCUGUCACAACCAGGCCCAGUAUUCAACAUUACAAUGCAUAGCAACAGACCAAACCCCAAUAGUGGGGGACUCACUGUGCUGGGUGCAAAGUCCGGAGCCUGAACCUGGGAGAGAAUUACAGAUUCUGGGGGAGGAGCUUGGGGCCCUGACCUCUGUCUGGCCUAGUGAAGGAGAUGUGAGGGAGCCACCAGAAGAGGCUGGGCUGGAACCCCUGUGCUGCAGUGUUUGGAGAUCAUGUGCACGGAUGGAGAAGGGAGGCCCCCAGCCUGGAACUUCAGGUGGCCAUGAGCAGAGAAGGACAGCAUCAUCUGCACACCUCCAGGGCCAUGUCCACAGAGUCCUUCCUCCAAGAAGGCCCACUGUCUAGAUGGCUAGAAGCAGGACUCAACGAAGGUAGAGAAAGACAAAAUUAUACAUGCUCCUGUGUUUUUGUGGUACUGAGUAUCGAAUGCAUGGCCAAGUGUACACUUGGCAAGAGCCCUGCCAUGAGUCUUCUCCUCUGCACAGACUCUAAGACGUAUGGCACAAACACUUUACCAAAAUGUAGUGUCGCCUGAGAUACCAGCUUGCCUACCUGAUAGUUGAAGGCUGUGACCUGUGAGGCAAAAAGGAAGGGAGAUGAAGUGGGGGAGGGGACAAAGAAGUAAGGGGAGGGUGAAGCUAGCUCUCCUUCACACCUGUGCAUCAUCCCCCAGAAGGCCUCAGCAACCUUCUUCUUGUGCUUGUUGCUCAAGACUGGGUCCCUCAGUCACUGGACUAGUGACCUCAUGUCUGAGAAAAGCAAAUUCCAGGUGGAGAACAGUGAGGCAGGGUAGUGGUCCUGGCUUCUGCACAGAGUAGCCUGACAUCUGGUGUCAUCAGAGCCAUUAUCCUCUUGAGAUGAGGCCACUAAGUUAACAAGAUGUCAUCUUCCUGGAAACAGCCUGACUGCAAUGGCUUAAUAGAGAAGCCAACCUUUGGCAGGGUGCAUCAUAGCUCUCUUCAAAGGCAUGGAAGCAAAGUGUUUCUGUGCUGUUGGUGUCCGCCAGCCCAAAGAUGCAGAGGGGCUCCUAUGAGAAGGUGAACCUGAGGUGGAUGCUCUCAGUGCUGGGGAAGGCUCACCAUGGAGACCAAGGCAAGAGGCAGAUUGGUGAAAGAUCAGGGCUAUGAGAGGAAGGUCUGGGGGAGUCUAGAUGUGUGCUGCACAAAAUGUGGGCUAGCCAUGUCCACGGAAUUUCUCUAUCCUUCUGUCUAAAGAGAAAGAAAGCCAAGAGAGGACCCCACCAUGGUGUACUGUUUUCAGAAAAGUAAGGGAGGGACUUCACUCUUGGUCUCCGUUGCAGGGUGGUUCCAUAGGAUCUUGGGGCUAUAACACAUGACCUGCAGGGAUGCAGUUUGCAAAGGGAAAUAUUCACAGAACUCAUCACAGGAGACUGGGAGGCCUCAGAGCAUGGCUCAGGCGCUAACUUUACCUUUGGGUAAGAUCUUCUUUGUGCACAACAAGAUGUCCUCACAGAGCGAAACAGAGCAAGCAAGCAGACUUCAUGCUUGCACCCUCUUCUCAGAGACCUCAUCUGCACGCAGCCUAGGAGUGCAGCCUAGGAGUGCAGCCUAGGAGCUCAGUUGAUACUUAGCUGUCAUUCCUCACACACAGUUCCCAUCCCCAGGGAGCCGCCAGAACCUUCUUCCCAUCUCUGCCUUUCAUGUGUUGACUUGAUUCUUUUUCAUAGCUGCGUCCUCGGUUUCUCACGGUCACCUUGGACACCACAGGGCACAGGGGGCACCGCCCUGGCUGGGAUGAGGGAGACAGAAUGGAGCUGGGUGAUUGAUCUCAUUAGGGAGCAGCUGCAGGGCUCAGGAAAAGACUGGGUCCUGUGAAUUAAAUCUUUUAGAGUCUUGGCAGCCACCCUGGAGGGAGCCUUGGAACAACCAGAUUCAUGGCCACCUGCCUGCCUUUGCUACAGGAGUCGCCACUUUACCCCACACUGUGACUCUUCUUCCAUACAGUCUGAGCACCUGGCGAGCGUUAAGGAAAACCUCUCAAAGACUCUGUGCCUGGACCAAGGAUUCAGAAGCUUUCACGGCCUCUUGAGGCAGCCACAGCUCUGCACCUUACCUGUGCGCUGCUCUCAGAAUAGACCUGGUGGCCGCCACAAAAGACAAGGAUGAGGCCACCAAGGACCAAAGCCAGUGCCCUGAUUCUGGGUCUGUAGGGAUCCACCUCAUAGCCCAAUCUGGGGCAUAAGAGGGGCAACUUCCCCUUUACCUUGUCCUCUUUGGUGUGACCAGAAGACCCUGAGGAUGUGGAAGACAGCAGGCUACGUGGCUUAGUCACAGCUCCCAAAGUCAGCACAGAUCAAUGACUGCCCUGCGUUAUUUGUGAGAAUCUAAAGACCGUAAAGCUUCCAUUGAGGAAGAAAGACUUCUCUUGGAAUCUGGUCCAAAGAGAGCGAUUUGGGGCUCUGUAAUCUACAUAGAGCCUUGCACUGUGACUAUAAUACAAAAACAAUAUCCAGCCUUACUGUAUCUUACUGUAGUAUUCAACAUACUCUGAUAUCAAUUCAAUUUCCUCUGAAUGUUCUUCUUGAGC
rnacentral:lncRNA from 1 species